rnacentral:rRNA from 1 species
AGUGAACGCUGGCGGUAGGCCUAACACAUGCAAGUCGAACGGCAGCACCGUAAGAGCUUGCUCUUACGGGUGGCGAGUGGCGGACGGGUGAGGAAUACAUCGGAAUCUACUUUUUCGUGGGGGAUAACGUAGGGAAACUUACGCUAAUACCGCAUACGACCUACGGGUGAAAGCAGGGGAUCUCCGGACCUUGCGCGAUUGAAUGAGCCGAUGUCGGAUUAGCUAGUUGGCGGGGUAAAGGCCCACCAAGGCGACGAUCCGUAGCUGGUCUGAGAGGAUGAUCACACAGACUGGAAGUGAGGAACGGUCCAGACUCCUACAGGAGGCCGCAGUGGGGACUAUUGGACAAUGGGCGCAAGCCUGAUCCAGCCAUACCGCGUGGGGGAAGAAGGCCUUCGGGUGGUAAAGCCAUUUUGUUGGGAAAGAAAAACAGCAGGUUUAUACCCCGCUGUUCUGACGGUACCCAAAGAAUAAGCACCGGCUAACUUCGUG